rnacentral:rRNA from 1 species
UACGAAGGGGGCUAGCGUUGCUCGGAUUGACUGGGCGUAAAGGGCGCGUAGGCGGUUCGUACAGUCAGACGUGAAAUCCUGGGCUCAACCUGGGGGCUGCGUUUGAUACGUGCGGACUUGAGUGCGGAAGAGGGUCGUGGAAUUCCCAGUGAGAGGUGAAAAUUCGUAGAUAUUGGGAAGAACACCGGUGGCGAAGGCGGCGACCUGGUCCGAUACUGACGCUGAGGCGCGAAAGCGUGGGGAGCAAACAGG